rnacentral:rRNA from 1 species
UACGAAGGGUACAACCGUUGCUCGGAAUCAUUGGGCGUAAAGCGCACGUAGGCGGCUUGCCAAGUCGGACGUGAAAUCCCUCAGCUCAACUGAGGACGUGCAUCCGAAACUGGCGAGCUUGAGUACUGAAGAGGAUCGCGGAAUUCCCGGUGUAGAGGUGAAAUUCGUAGAUAUCGGGAGGAACACCAGUGGCGAAGGCGGCGAUCUGGGCAGAUACUGACGCUGAGGUGCGAAAGCGUGGGGAGCAAACAGG